GUGCUCCCUUGAGCAGCACAAACACUAAAACUGGAACAAUACAGAGAAGAUUAGCAUGGCCCCUGGGCAAGGAUGACAUACAAGUUUGUGAAGCGUUCCCUAAUUUU